rfam:Citrus clementina cultivar Clemenules unplaced genomic scaffold scaffold_6, whole genome shotgun sequence.
AAUUGAUGAUGAGGGCAAGAUGCACUUAGCUCCUUAAAUCUCUCUCAAUACUCAUACAAACUUUAUCAACUCUACUGUCUUAUGCCGUAUAUCUCUUUUCUAAUUGU